AAUGUGUGUGUGCUUCGUCUCUGUCCUAAUAACCAUCUGCAUGUGUGUGUUCUGCAGCAGGGUUCUAGGAAAAUUAACAUCAUGCAGCUUCUUCAGUCACACCAUCGACUCCACUGAUAAGGCUGAAAACAUUUAUUAUACCACUGUUCAGUACAAAAGAAUGUCCACUGCAUCUGCUACGAACAUCAAGUCAGACUGCAGGACUGAUUCCUAACUGUUACCUCACAGCUGCAGAGACACUGACAAGCACAAGCUGCUAAAUGCUGAUGACCCUCAACUCCUCCUCUCCUUUCCUCCUUAAGUCAUUGAUGUUUCUGCUUUGAUCUCAGUAUGUUUAUUAGAGAUCUCACCAUGAAUAGAAGCAAAUCUUAAACUUAAUCCCAGCAAAAGCUGAGCUGCUGAACAUCUCCGACUUUAUUCCCAUGUCAAUAUGCUGUUGUUUAUCAGGAGAAUUCUCAGAUCCUACAUCAUGGCCUACAUCUGAAUUAUUUUCUCCUUUACACAAGAAGAAUGUGGUCAUUUCUUUCCACAGACCUCACAGGUGAUUGUUUAGAGCUAUAAAGGUUUGACUCUUGGCAGAUCCUCAAAUUAAAUUCUGACAAAUGAUAGAUAAUUGUUUAAUCCAUUUAGUAACAUCAGCAUUUGGAUUUAUUACCAAGUGACAGUUUAAAAUAGUGUUAUUGCGACCCCUACUGGUUUUGCUAAUUUCAUUGUUGUUAAAAAUGAUGUUUAAUAUUGUUUAUGACACGAUUUUUAAAUAUGAAUCAAAUGUUUGUGACAGAAAUUACAUUUGUAACUAAUGUUUAUAACAAGUUUGCAUUGAUUAAAUCAGCU